rnacentral:rRNA from 1 species
UACGUAGGUGGCAAGCGUUGUCCGGAAUUAUUGGGCGUAAAGCGCGCGCAGGCGGUCUCUUAAGUCUGAUGUGAAAGCCCACGGCUCAACCGUGGAGGGUCAUUGGAAACUGGGGGACUUGAGUACAGAAGAGGAAAGCGGAAUUCCACGUGUAGCGGUGAAAUGCGUAGAGAUGUGGAGGAACACCAGUGGCGAAGGCGAGUUCCUGGACAAGUCCUGACGCUGAGGCACGAAAGCCAGGGGAGCAAACAGG